GAUGAACGCUAGCGGCAGGCAUAAUACAUGCAAGACGAACGGUAAGUUUGGUAGCAAUACUGAACCUAGAGUGUCGUACGGGUGCGUAACACGUAUGCAACCUACCUUUUACAGGAGUAUAGCUCCCCGAAAGGGGAAUUAACCCUCCAUAAUAUCAUUGGAUGGCAUCAUUUGAUGAUUAAAACUGAGGUGGUAAAAGAUGGGCAUGCGUCUGAUUAGUUAGUUGGCAGUGUAACGGACUACCAAGACGAUGAUCAGUAGGGGACCUGAGAGGGUGAUCCCCCACACUGGCACUGAGAUACGGGCCAGACUCCUACGGGAGGCAGCAGUAGGGAAUAUUGGACAAUGGGUGAGAGCCUGAUCCAGCCAUGCCGCGUGAAGGAUUAAGGCCCUAUGGGUUGUAAACUUCUUUUAGACGGGACAAAACCCCUUUACGUGUAAAGGGUUGAUGGUACUGUCAGAAUAAGCAUCGGCUAACUUCGUGCCAGCAGCCGCGGUAAAGA
rnacentral:rRNA from 1 species